AAUGCUUAGGAAUCUGCCUAUUAGUGGGGGACAACAUUCCGAAAGGAAUGCUAAUACCGCAUACGUCCUACGGGAGAAAGCAGGGGAUCUUCGGACCUUGCGCUAAUAGAUGAGCCUAAGUCGGAUUAGCUAGUUGGUGGGGUAAAGGCCUAGCAAGGCGACGAUCUGUAGCGGGUCCGAGAGGAUGAUCCGCCACACUGGGACUGAGACACGGCCCAGACUCCUACGGGAGGCAGCAGUGGGGAAUAUUGGACAAUGGGGGGAACCCUGAUCCAGCCAUGCCGCGUGUGUGAAGAAGGCCUUAUGGUUGUAAAGCACUUUAAGCGAGGAGGAGGCUACUGAGACUAAUACUCUUGGAUAGUGGACGUUACUCGCAGAAUAAGCACCGGCUAACUCUGUGCCAGCAGCCGCGGUAAUACAGAGGGUGCGAGCGUUAAUCGGAUUUACUGGGCGUAAAGCGUGCGUAGGCGGCUUUUUAAGUCGGAUGUGAAAUCCCCGAGCUUAACUUGGGAAUUGCAUUCGAUACUGGGAAGCUAGAGUAUGGGAGAGGAUGGUAGAAUUCCAGGUGUAGCGGUGAAAUGCGUAGAGAUCUGGAGGAAUACCGAUGGCGAAGGCAGCCAUCUGGCCUAAUACUGACGCUGAGGUACGAAAGCAUGGGGAGCAAACAGGAUUAGAUACCCUGGUAGUCCAUGCCGUAAACGAUGUCUACUAGCCGUUGGGGCCUUUGAGGCUUUAGUGGCGCAGCUAACGCGAUAAGUAGACCGCCUGGGGAGUACGGUCGCAAGACUAAAACUCAAAUGAAUUCACGG
rnacentral:rRNA from 1 species